rnacentral:rRNA from 1 species
UACGGAGGGUGCGAGCGUUGUCCGGAAUCACUGGGCGUAAAGGGCGCGUAGGCGGCAGGCCAAGCGUGCGGUGAAAGUCCGGGGCUCAACCCCGGAUCUGCCGUGCGGACUGGUUUGGCUAGAGCACUGUAGAGGCGAGUGGAAUUCCGGGUGUAGCGGUGGAAUGCGUAGAGAUCCGGAAGAACACCGGUGGCGAAGGCGGCUCGCUGGGCAGUGGCUGACGCUGAGGCGCGACAGCGUGGGGAGCAAACGA